rnacentral:rRNA from 1 species
CCUACGGGCGGCAGCAGUGAGGAAUAUUGGUCAAUGGCCGAGAGGCUGAACCAGCCAAGUCGCGUGAGGGAAGACGGCCCUACGGGUGGUAAACCUCUUUUGUCGGGGAGCAAAGCGAACCACGUGUGGUUCAUUGAGAGUACCCGAAGAAAACGGAUCGGCUAACUCCGUGCCAGCCGCCGCGGUAAUACGGAGGAUGCGAGCGUUAUCCGGCUUUCUUGGGUUUAAAGGGUGCGCAGGCGGAGUUGCAAGUCCCCGGUCAAAUUGCGGGGCUCAACCCCGUACUGCCGUUGAAACUGCAUCCCUUGAGGGCGCGAGAAGUAUGCGGAAUGCGUGGUGUAGCGGUGAAAUGCAUAGAUAUCACGCAGAACUCCGAUUGCGAAGGCAGCAUACCGGCGCGCAACUGACGCUCAUGCACGAAAGCGUGGGUAUCGAACAGGAUUAGAUACCCGAGUAGUC